rnacentral:lncRNA from 1 species
GAAAAUAGUUGAGCUUGUGAACAUGUACACCUAUAAAUAUAGUCGUCAAACCUUUAAAACUGCGAAUAUAUAUAUACUAAGUUUAUUAUUUUUAAGAAUUUUAUAUAAUAUUUUUAUAAAAGAGAUAACAAAUUAAAAAUAUUAAAAUUUAAAUUUCAGAUUCGAUAAUAACAUUAAUUUGUCAACCACAAGAAUUCAAGCAUUGAUGAUGAGUGACCUGCUAUUAUUUGAACCAAACACUUAAUUGUACUCUUUCUGUAGCUACUAACUAAAAUUUCUAUUUUAAUUUAAGUUGUUAAGUCAAAAACCUCCCCAUCAUCAAUUAGAUAAUCAAACAAGCGAAAGCACAAAAAACAAUCAAUUAUUUACACAAAAAAUAACAUUUUAACAUGAUUUAGCUCAACUUAAAGUGAUUUAUAUCCACAAAUGAAAUAAAAGAUCUAUUAAUUACAAAGAAUUAUAAACAAUCAAAUAAUUAUUUAUAAUCAAUACUCAUGAACAUUUUUCUUUAGUUCUACGAAAUAUUCUCAAUCCAAAUAAAUAUUCAUUACAUACCUAUCUAUAUGGAUCAUCUCAUUCUUUUUUAAUCUAUUUACAAACAUUUAAAUGUACACACUCAUUCUCAUUUAAUUCACUUACAAAUAUUCAAACAUAUACACUCAUACAAGUUGUCUUAAAAAUCUUACUUUCUUAUAUUUUUCUCUCAUACCUAACUUCAUUAAAACUUUUACUAUUUAUAAAUAUGCUAAUUUAACUAUUAAGAAUUUCUUUUAAUUUUUUUUAUAAAUUUUUUUUCCAUCAAAUAAUAUCUAACUAAUCUUGAAAAAGUUCCAAAUAAAUCUUGUAUGGAGUUAAGUUACUAUUACUAACAAUUUCGUUAGUUUUUUUACCUCUUGUUUUGACAUUAGGUAUAGAAUAUGAAAAAAGGAAAAUAUGUAUAGAACUUGUAAGUUUUCGUAUCUCAAAUAGAAUCAAAUUUAAAGUACUUAUCAAACCAAGCUUAAAUAUAUAUAUAUAUGUAAGUUUUUAUGGAUGAUUUUGAAAUUCGAGUUUUGAAUGUUUUCAAUUUUAAUUUAAAAAAAUUGAACCUCAAAUGCCAAAAAUGCCUUGGCUAAUGCUAAAGUGAAACACUCUCUUUUCCAUUUUUUUUUUCUCAACAUUAUUAAACAAUUUGUUAACAAAAAUUGAGGCAAUCGACACUGUUUGGUAUAUAUUGUUGGACUGCAAUCAAAUUCCAUUGUAAAUACAUACAGGUACUUAAGCACUUAAUUCACUCAACAAAUUGACUGCAUAUCGUUUAAUUGUGAUGUAUUCUUAGAAUUUUGGUUUUUAUUGCACAAGAAUAAUUUUAAUAUAUGAUUAUCAUAACAAUAAAUUUAUAAUAAAAAAAUAGUAAGUUUUUAAAUUAUGAUUUGAUAAUUUUCAAUUAAUUAACAUUUGAAAUAUAACAAAUUAAUUUCCAUAUAUCAAUCUUCAAGAUCAAGAUUGAACAAUAUUUGACUAAAAUCUAAAACAUUUAGAAUGUAAUAUGACUUUGUAUGCACAGAGAGAACCUCUGUUUGUUGAAAUGAAAUUGAUAGAUAAAGCAUCAAUGAUAGAAAUAGCUAGCUUUAUAAGUUCUUUCCAAUUUAUUUUUAAAUGAGACUAUUAAGAUUUAAAUUUGAUUAUUAAAAUUAAAAAUUCAAUACUCAAUUCAGAGACUAUUGAUAUGACCAACUACCAAAAGAGCAUUGUCAUUAUGUCAUCCAUAUAAUUUGAGGAUUAUUUUUAUUCAAUUAAACAAAUUAAUAUGAUCCAUGCUUUCAAUAAAAGUCUCCGAAAAAGAGAAAUUAUUAGAUAGGAACAUCUUAUUAGGUAAGAUUCUUAUUAGGUAAAAAUAUUAUGAAUUAAUAUUUUUUAAAAAAAUUUAAAAAUAAAUAUUUUUUAACUUAUUUACAAUUAUUAUAACUAUUAGUAUAUAACAUAUUUAUACUAACAAAUAUUUAUAUAUCAUCAAAAAAAAUUUACUAAUAAUGCUAAUUUUAUAAAUAUUGAUAUAAGCACUGUUUAUACUGACAAUAAUAAAAAUUCGUUAAUAUAAAUAUUUUUCACUUAAAUAAUUUGACUAUUAAUAUAUAUAAGUGUUAAUAUAUAACAUAUUUAUAUCCACGAAUAGUUAUAUAUUAUCAAAAAAAUUAUUUAUAUUGAUGAUUUUAUAAAAUAUUAAUAAAUAUAUAGUAUAUUCUGACAAUAUUAAAAAUCUGUUAAUAAAAUUUUUUUUAUAUAUAAUUUGAUUGUAAAUAUAAUCAAACGAUAGAAUAUUAAAAAAUUUUGUAGUGUACCUUGGUAGAAAAGAUGGGUUCCAAACCAGCUUUUCAGGUGCCGGCAGUCAUGGGCUCAAGGACGGCACGAGCUAGCGGCAAGAAGAGGGCGGCAUGUGCUGACGAUGUGGAAAGGGUGCCAUGGGCUGGUGGCAAAAAGCGAAAAGAAAAGAGGAGAUGAGAGAGAAGAAAGAAGAAGAAAAAG